UCUAAUACCGGAUACUGAKCAUCUUGGGCAUCCUUGGUGAUCGAAAGCUCCGGCGGUGCAGGAUGAGCCCGCGGCCUAUCAGCUUGUUGGUGAGGUAAUGGCUCACCAAGGCGACGACGGG
rnacentral:rRNA from 1 species